AUGGAGGACGGAGUGGAUCACAUAGACAUUUACGUGGAUGUGGGUGAAGAGUUCAACCAGGAAGCGGAAUAUGGUGGGCAUGAUCAGAUAGAUUUGUAUGAUGAUGUCAUCUCUCCAUCUGCAAAUAAUGGCGAUGCCCCAGAAGAUCGGGACUACAUGGAUACUCUUCCACCAACUGUUGGUGAUGACGUGGGUAAAGGAGCAGCACCAAAUGUUGUCUACACUUACACUGGAAAGAGAAUUGCAUUGUAUAUUGGAAAUCUAACAUGGUGGACAACAGAUGAGGACCUGACUGGGGCAGUUCAUUCUUUGGGAGAAAAUGAUAUUUUGGAGAUAAGAUUUUUUUGAAAAUCGGGCAAAUGGACAAUCAAAGGGAUUUGCCCUUGCUGGUGUUGGAUCUGAAGCAUCUUCCAAAAAGUUAAUGGAUCUUUUGCCUAAAAGAGAACUUCAUGGUCAGAAUCCUGUUGUAACUCCAUGCAAUAAACAGUUCCUGAGUCAGUUUGAAAUGCAAUCCAGGAAAACUACACAAUCAGGAGAGAUGUCUGGGGAAGGUAAAGCUGGUCCUCCAGGAGGCAGUUCACGGGCAGCAUUUCCACAGGGUGCUAGAGGACGGGGCCGCUUUCCAGGGGCUGUUCCUGGUGGAGACAGAUUUCCUGGGCCAGCAGGACCAGGAGGGCCACCUCCACCUUUCCCAGGUGGACAAACUCCACUGCGUCCACCUUUAGGCCCACCUGGCCCACCUGGUCCACCAGGUCCUCCACCUCCUGGUCAGGUUUUGCCACCUCCUCUAGCAGGACCUCUUAAUUGAGGAGACCGCCCUCCACCACCAGUUCUUUUUCCUGGACAACCUUUUGGCCAGCCUCCGCUGGGUCCACUUCCUCCUGGGCCUCCACCUCCAGUUCCAGGCUACGGCCUCCCUCCAGGUCCACCGCCUCCACAGCAGGGACCACCUCCACCUCCAGGCCCCUUUUCUACCUCGACCACCGGGUCCACUAGGGCCUCCCCUUACACUUGCUCCUCCUCCACAUCUUCCGGGACCACCUCCAGGUGCCCCACCACCAGCUCCACAUGUGAAUCCUGCUUUUUUUCCUUCACCAACUAAUAGUGGUAUGACAACAUCAGAUAGUCGAGGUCCACCACCAAGAGACCCAUAUGGCAGACCUCCCCCAUAUGAUAGGGGUGACUAUGGCCCCCCUGGGAGGGAAAUGGAUACUGCAAGAACACCUCUGAGUGAAGCUGAGUUUGAAGAAACCAUGAAUAGAAAUCGGGCAAUCUCAAGCAGUGCUAUUUCAAGAGCUGUGUCUGAUGCUAGUGCAUCAGAAUUAAUCUAAAUCCUAUGGGUCUGGAUCAAGAUGUGAACGAGCAAGAGAAAGGGACCAUAGUAGAUCACGAGAAAAGAGUCGGCGUCAUAAAUCUCGGAGUAGAGAUCGCCAUGAUGAUUAUUACAGAGAGAGAAGCAGAGAGCGAGAGAGACACCAGGAUCGUGAUCGUGACCGUGACUGCGAGCGUGACCUAGAGCGAGAGUGCCAUCAUCGUUAG